CGCGUAGGCGGUUUGUCAAGUCCCGUGUGAAAGCCCUCGGCUCAACCGAGGAACGGCGCGGGAAACUAGCAGGCUUGAGUUCGGGAGAGGGAAGCGGAAUUCCGGGUGUAGCGGUGAAAUGCGCAGAUAUCCGGAGGAACACCGGUGGCGAAGGCGGCUUCCUGGACCGACACUGACGCUGAGGCGCGAAAGCUAGGGGAGCAAACGGGAUUAGAUACCCCGGUAGUCCUAGCCCUAAACGAUGAGCACUGGGUGUAGAGGGUAUGAACCCCUUCUGUGCCGAAGCUAACGCAUUAAGUGCUCCGCCUGGGGAGUACGGUCGCAAGGCUGAA
rnacentral:rRNA from 1 species